CGGGCAGAACAGCAGAGUCAACGAGCAGAUGAGAAAUAGAGAAUAGAGAAGAAAGUCACAAUCUAUUAAACAAAUAGCGGUUGUUAACUCACUUCGGAGCACAGAAGAACUCUGGAAACUAUACCUACCGGAAGCGGAGCAGUGUUUGAAGACCUGUGAGUUGUUUUCGGCAGAGACUGGUGUAAUUACUUGCCGUGUCUGAGAAACAGAUGGAAGCAGCUUCGUGUCCACAGGACAGUCCUCAACAGAUGACAUUGUGUGCCCUGGAUAUUCAUCCUAUAAAGACGUCCCAUCCUCUUGCCGUGUCUGAGAAACAGAUGGAAGCAGUUUCGUGUCCACAGGACAGUCCUCAACAG